rnacentral:lncRNA from 1 species
CUUGACUGCCUCUCAGCAGAUGCCAAAUAUAAAGGUUCAACCAGUUGAUCAGUCAGCGCAGAUGAACUUUCAGUCCCAGCAUUCACUAGGAGAUAACCGUUUAUCUUCCUAUCAGCAUCAACAUUGUCAACAGCCCCCUCAGCAGUUCCAGGAGCAACGUCAAUUUGUUCAACCUCAACCUCAACAGAAGCUGCAAAGUCAGCAGCACCAACUUUUGUCAAUUCAACAGCCGCCUCAGCAGUUCCAGGAGCAACGUCAAUUUGUUCAACCUCAACCUCAACAGAAGCUGCAAAGUCAGCAGCACCAACUUUUGUCAACGAGCAAUACUUUUGCUCAAGCUCAGCUACCUUCUGAUCUUGGUAUUCGGGUAAAGUCUGAGUCUGGAAAUCAUGAUGAAGCACAGCAUUCUCGGGUAAAUGCUGAGCAAUUUCAGUUUUCUAACAUAAAUCAGUUUCAGUCAAAUUCAGUUGAAGACCAUUCUAAAGGUACUCAAUUGCUCCCUCCUCUGUCUAGGUUAUUCGUUUGUCA